CCAUUAGCUGUCUUUCCAAUUUCGAUUGAUCAAGGCCGUGAUUGAAGGUUUCCUUUCUCUUAAUUUCGGAAAUCAGUAAUUUACCGAAACAAGAAACGCGUUUCCUUUUCUGCCGAACCAUCACAAAUCAUUACCAUCCUUACGAUACAUGUGAAGUCAAUAAAAGCCGAGGACCUUCACCUCCGUUUUACAUCCUCAUACAACCCACAAAUCUGUUUCGACACACCUCUCAUCCCCUCUCGACACGACCACAACCUUUUCGAAUCAAUGGCACGUUGCACAAACUCUCUGUUAACAGCUUGUCGGAACACUAGUACGAUCCCGGAGCAUACAUCGGAGACUAACCCGAUACGUUUUGCCACCCUCUCACCCUUUCUGUUUCAAUAACAGUUCGCCGGAACAACGCAGAUGACGCCGGAGGUACCAGAACGUGCCGGAGACCCGAAGAUCACGUUUCAGUUGUUCGCCGGAGUCGAAGUUCAAUCGGAAACUUACGCCGCACUGUUUUGGAUAAUCACUCUCGUGCAUUUGAAUUCUCCAUCCUUACUCGUGCACUAUUACAAGAAAUCGCAACGCUACGCAACCAAUGUUGAUAGACGAAGUGAUCAAGAAAACAAGCUAGGAUGAACCUAGAAACCCAUCUAGAAUAAACAAUGCUUUGAACUAUUUUUGGUACAAUGUUUGAAUCUUUUAUGACAUCUUAGCAUUUAUGAAAUUUGAUUUAAUCUAUAUUGUCACAAUUAGUGUUAUGUUGUUUUGAGCAAUUUGUUCGUCUCAUCCCGAUGUUU